rnacentral:rRNA from 1 species
UACGGGGGGAGCAAGCGUUGUUCGGAUUUACUGGGCGUAAAGGGCGCGUAGGCGGCCUCUGCAAGUCGACUGUGAAAUCUCCGGGCUUAACCCGGAACGGUCAGCCGAUACUGCAGGGCUAGAGUGCAGAAGGGGUAACUGGAAUUCUCGGUGUAGCGGUGAAAUGCGUAGAUAUCGAGAGGAACACCUGCGGCGAAGGCGGGUUGCUGGGCCGAUACUGACGCUGAGGCGCGAAAGCGUGGGGAGCAAACAGG